GGGCUCUGGGCUGUCUUACCCCGUCUUUGCCCUUUCCUGAGACCUGUCCUACAGAGGCAGGAUGCUCAGCUACGUGAUAUCAUCACAUUUCUUCCACUCAGCUGCAUGAGCUCUGUGAGGUUUUGGUACCAUCUAGGAGCUGGGAAAACUGCUCUGGAAGAAGUCCUGAAGGCUCAGCACCAGAAUUAGUUUAAGGAGAUAAGGGAAGUCGGUGUGUUAACAGUGAAAGCAUUGAAGAGAAUGGGUUACAGGGAAAUUUGUAAUUUGACAUGCUGUUAUGUAAGGAGUUUUAUGCAUGCUAUACCCAGAUACGCCACUGAAAACAGACGGAUUAAUGGAGGAAUUUAUCAUUUAUACGGAGAAAAAUAAGGCAGCCAGUUUUCUUCUACAUCCCGGAGAUGGAUCCUGAGUAAUUAAACAACAGAAACUCUCAGGAAAUGCAUACGUUUUUCCAUGGGGAGUACAAGCUGAAAUAUGAUGUGCUCCAACGCCGCUUUUUAUUCCGUAAGUCAUUUCCCACCACCCAUGCACCCCAUCAAAGAAACCAGGAAAGCACAAUUAAUGUAAUGAGCUACAAUUUCAAGCCGUGGAAAGCCAUCAAAAACAAAGUGAAACCCGGUGAAGCUCUGUGUUACUGCUAUUUUGGCCAACACUUGAACCCUUGAGCUCUGCGCACAGCAGUCCGUGCUUCAGGCUAACAGCUGGAUGCAAAUGCCCCAAUCAUUUCACUUUCAGUGCCUCCUAAUUGUAUUUAGACCUAUUUUACAGACUUCAGUGACAUUCAGAGAGAACAAUGCAGGGUUUGCUGUGUGAUGGGGAAUCGACCGCUGGGCUGGGUUAUCUGCUCGGUGCUGCUCGUGGGGUUAACACCAGUCUGGCAUUACUUAUUUUUCUAACCUGAUGCAAAUUAUUUUCAGCAGCCCAAACACAGGCUUGUGUAAUAAAAGCACGAGGAUAGUGCAAACAUCCUGUUGACUCAAAGAAAGUGAAAAGUGGUCCCCAAAGGGAAGCAGGGCGAGGGUGCUGGUGGCUUGUAUUGCCCCACAAGGGCUGGCAGGUGACUGGGCAGCAGGGACCAGCAGAUGCAUCGCCAUGAGGAUGUGUCCAGCCUCCAUCACGACAGGCAGCUCGCUUUAAAACUGUCCCGAGCUAAAAUUCCAUGUGGAUAUUGAGGAAUAGCUAAUGUGACCAGAGAGGGAAAUGAGUCUGGAGCUCUCUGCAGUCCCUGGACAAUGGCUUCCAGGAUGGCAGCUUUGCAGACACUGAUAAUGAAAAGGGGAAAAUACAGCAUACAGAUAAAGCAGACAUCUCCCGGAAGGUAUUUAGAGAAGCAAUGACAUUUAGCAGAGGCAGUGGUGCCAGCAGAGCCAUUACAAGUUGUUUAUCAUGCAAGCUCAUCCAGUGCUCAGGAGAUUUUGGGUCAGCCAUUUCAUUUCCAUGAGAAUUUGAUUUCAGGGUGGUGAGUUCACCCUACGAUAAGAUUUGGCUGUGCUGGUUGUAUGUUUUGUAAUGGCUCUGAAAAAAAAAAAAAAAACAACUUGAAAUAGCAAUCACUAAAAUAUCAUCUUCCUGUUCUGAGCUCAGCAGGAGAGGCCGAUCAGUUCUUUUAUUAGUGAUGAGAAAGGGAUCCAUGCAGCAAAGUCCUCAGGAAGGGUGU